AACGAACGCUGGCGGCAUGCCUAACACAUGCAAGUCGAACGAGACCUUCGGGUCUAGUGGCGCACGGGUGCGUAACGCGUGGGACUCUGCCCUUGGGUUCGGAAUAACAGUUGGAAACGACUGCUAAUACCGGAUGAUGACGUAAGUCCAAAGAUUUAUCGCCCAGGGAUGAGCCCGCGUAGGAUUAGCUAGUUGGUGGGGUAAAGGCCUACCAAGGCUACGAUCCUUAGCUGGUCUGAGAGGAUGAUCAGCCACACUGGGACUGAGACACGGCCCAGACUCGUACGGGAGGCAGCAGUGGGGAAUAUUGGACAAUGGGCGAAAGCCUGAUGCAGCAAGGACGCGUGAGGGAUGAAGGGAUGAGGGGUGUAAAGCGCGUUUACCGGGGAGGAUAAUGACAGUACCGGGAGAAUAAGCCCCGGCUAACUCCGUG
rnacentral:rRNA from 1 species